GGGAAGUGAAACAUCUCAGUACCCUUAGGAAAAGAAAUCAAUUGAGAUUCCGUUAGUAGCGGCGAGCGAAUGCGGAAGAGCCCAUUAAGUUCGUUAUGUUUUAGUGGAAUGCUUUGGGAAGAGCAACCAUAGUAGGUGAUAGUCCUGUACACGAAAGGGCAUAACGAAUGAAUUGAGUAAGGCGAGGCACGUGAAACCUUGUCUGAAUAUGGGGGGACCAUCCUCCAAGGCUAAAUACUCCUGACUGACCGAUAGUGAACCAGUACCGUGAGGGAAAGGCGAAAAGAACCCCUGUGAGGGGAGUGAAAUAGAUCCUGAA
rnacentral:rRNA from 1 species